CACACACACACACACACACGCCAAUGAUUAUUUCUGUAUUUUCACCUAGAAAUGGAGUUAGUCUGUUUCUGUAAAAAGGCCAGUCUCCAUUUAGAGCAUGUUUGGAGUGAACAGCUUAAGAAACUCUGGAACUGCUUGUGAACUGCAGAACAUGUACUGUAAAAGCAAAGCAAAGUUAAAUGUGUGAGGCCGAAAAGUUGAUACACCUCCUAAUUUUCUGUUCAGCACACAUCUAUUAUGCAACUCUGAAAAUUAUGAUGCGAUUGUUACAGAUUUCAGGUAUAAAUGCUGGUGUUGUAACUAAACUUCUGCUAGCAGAGCCAGUCUUUGUGUUAUUAGCAGAAAAACAGCCUAAUAAGAGUCCUUGCAAUAAGAGCACACAAUGACAAAUCCGAUCACACUGCUCUGUUCAGUCCACCUCAGCAUUUCAGAAAAUCCCCUUCCUCACUCCAGGAAUUAUUCUGCAGCAGAAAGACCAGUACUAGAAAGAAAAGAAAGAAACUCAGAAAGGUGCAGACUAUUAACAAUGAAAUCUUUGUCAACGUAAACCUGCGUUCUGCGCUGAAUAUCAUUCAAAAGCAACACAGACAUCUGCAUUAUGAUUAUGAUUGCAGUUUUUUGUCCAAUCACCCAUCUUUAAAAGACUGACCUGCCAAUUCUGAUUUUAGGCAAUACAGAUUGUUUUUUUUUUUUUGAAUAAAUAGUU